rnacentral:rRNA from 1 species
AACGAACGCUGGCGGCAGGCCUAACACAUGCAAGUCGAGCGCGCCCUUCGGGGUGAGCGGCGGACGGGUGAGUAACGCGUGGGAACGUGCCCUUUUCUACGGAAUAGCCUCGGGAAACUGAGAGUAAUACCGUAUACGCCCUUUGGGGGAAAGAUUUAUCGGAAAAGGAUCGGCCCGCGUUGGAUUAGGUAGUUGGUGGGGUAAUGGCCUACCAAGCCGACGAUCCAUAGCUGGUUUGAGAGGAUGAUCAGCCACACUGGGACUGAGACACGGCCCAGACUCCUACGGGAGGCAGCCGUGGGGAAUCUUAGACAAUGGGGGCAACCCUGAUCUAGCCAUGCCGCGUGAGUGAUGAAGGCCUUAGGGUUGUAAAGCUCUUUCAGCUGGGAAGUUAAUGACGGUACCAGCAGAAGAAGCCCCGGCUAACUCCGUG